AUUGAACGCUGGCGGCAGGCCUAACACAUGCAAGUCGAACGGUAACAGGAAACAGCUUGCUGUUUCGCUGACGAGUGGCGGACGGGUGAGGAAUGUCUGGGAAACUGCCUGAUGGAGGGGGAUAACUACUGGAAACGGUAGCUAAUACCGCAUAACGUCGCAAGACCAAAGAGGGGGACCUUCGGGCCUCUUGCCAUCGGAUGUGCCCAGAUGGGAUUAGCUAGUAGGUGGGGUAACGGCUCACCUAGGCGACGAUCCCUAGCUGGUCUGAGAGGAUGACCAGCCACACUGGAACUGAGACACGGUCCAGACUCCUACGGGAGGCAGCAGUUGGGAAUAUUGCACAAUGGGCGCAAGCCUGAUGCAGCCAUGCCGCGUGUAUGAAGAAGGCCUUCGGGUUGUAAAGUACUUUCAGCGGGGAUGAAGGGAGUAAAGUUAAUACCUUUGCUCAUUGACGUUACCCGCAGAAGAAGCACCGGCUAACUCCGUG
rnacentral:rRNA from 1 species